rnacentral:lncRNA from 1 species
UUAAAACCCAAUUCUGCACACUAGGUAUCAAAUCACUUGCAGAUAUCCUCUGUAUCAUGCGGAGCUUCAACAUCCACCUGGAAAUUACAUGAAGGAAUGAGUCUGAAUAUUGCUUGCUUCAAGUCCACACCACAUUCUCACCCUUUUAUCUUCCAUUACUUUGUCUUUUCCUUAAGAAUAACUUCAUGAAAACUAGGAAGAAUUUUCCAAAUGUGCAUUUUCAUUUCUUCCUCUUUCCUCUGUCCCCUAGAACUUCAUUCUUUUUAUGUUCAGAGACAAUCCAUAUUGAAAGGAAUGGGAGGAAAGAAAUGUCUGUCAGCACUUUCAGAAGGGGAACUGGCCUCUCUAGUAUUGGAAGUAACAUAAGGAGAAGCAGGACACAACAAUGCUGUAUAGAAGGUAAGGAUUUCUUGCUCUUCUGGCAUUUUGCAAUCAUUACCAUCACCCACAAUGGAAGCUGAGAAAAUCCAGGAAAGAGAAACGGGGCAUUUAAAGGGGAGUAUUUCAACAUCUCAUAGCAGUUUUACUUUUAAAGUUUGCUUCCUUUCUUAAACUCUCUUUAAUAGCAUAUUAUUGUAAAUAGGCAUCACACUAUCUUCACUGAAGUUCACUCAUCACCACCAGGUCAUUGUUUAUCUUUCUCCUUUGCCUUGAACUUGGCCGCUUGCUGCAGUCACUAUUCCAGUUGGUUGAGUUUGAGUGUUGCUGAAAUUUCCUUAAUGUCUGUUUUGACUUCCUAUCUGUUAUGUACCACACAGCACAGUACUACCCAAAUAUCAUCUGUUUACAAAAACCUUUGCCUCACUUAUGGUAUCUCUAUGCUUGGAUUAGCUGAUCCACCAUUUGCUGUUAAGUAAUCUCUACUAGUGUCCUACAGCAGGAAGAACUUAGCUUGAAUAAAAUGGAGGGGGGAAAAAAGUGCAAAACUCUUCACAUGAAUGCAAUUUUACCUUUUGCCCAAACUUGAAUGGCAAGCUAUGAGAAGGUGUUUCUCCUGAGGAGAAAGUAUGGAUUCAGAUAGUCUAGAAAGGAACCACCUUGAAUCAAUUCAGAUAAAUAAAGGAAAAGAGGGCAAUAAUUGCUGAUUACCAGCUAAAGGGAAUACCAGAGGAAAAAAAAAAUGAUUUAAUGAGCAUUUGCUUUGUAUUACUUAAUCAUAAGGAGAAAGUUGUUGUGGAAAAUCUGGAACUUUCCACAUUUUUUACAGAUACCAUGGAUUUGCCAUAAUUUUCUGUUUUGGCCAUCAUAAUGAUGAACCUCAAGGACCAUUCAUAUGGGUCAUUUCACCUGUACAACAGUUUCCAGGCCAUUAAAGGAGCUGCCUGACAAUAAGAACUUCCAACAGUGAAAAUGCAGAGUAAAUUCUCCUGAGAACGCCUGACAGAAAAACAAGGUGUGCCUCAAACGGAAAGCUUAAAAGGACAUUUUUAAUGGCAGAGAUUUUGCAAAAAAGCUUGCUGUUAUAAGCCAACAGUUUGGUAGCAUUUUUAAGAUCAGGAAAUCCUUCUCUACAAUGGAUACUUUGUAAUGCCAACAGACAGAUCCAAAAUUACACUGUGACUCAUUCAUCAGGCAUUCAAACAUUUUUAUUUUCUUCAAAUGUCUGGAGUUUGAAUCAUCCAAAUCUCCAUCAAAAGAAGUAAGCGAGAACUUUCUCCUUUCUGAUGAGAUGUUUUGACAAGAGGCUGUGUCUUUCGCCAGCAAAUGCAGCACAGUGUGGCAUUCAUAGGUCAGUAGCAGCAGUCUGCAGUGCUUGCAGUCUCCUGGGCACUAAUCAAGCUGCUAACCAACUUGUCUCUACAGAUUUUUACCUCUAAUAGAGCCUUUCAAAGAACAAAAACACUUUGGCUGUGGUACGGUAUAUGUACAUCAUAAUGACUUUGUACAAACUGUAUAAUGCUGAAAUUAAUCUGUUUAGACAAGUUCCUCAUCUGAUUCACAGCUUAAGUAAUAUACCCUGAAAAGGUUUCAGCAGGAUUUUCUUAAUUUCCUGUGUUGCUUCUAUUCAGGCAUUGCAGAUGCUAAUUUUUUUUUGGUCAAGC